CAUGUACAUUCCUAUUAUAAUCUGCAUGUAACAUUUAACUUUUAUUUCCAUUUUGAAUUACAGACAAUGGCUUUGGGUAAUCAAGUUGGAAGGAUAUUUGUCUGGGACAUUGAUGUUGAAGAUCCUGUUCUAGCAAAAUGUUCUGUGCUGACUCAUCCCAAGUGUUACUCUGCCGUCAGACAGACGUGUUUCUCUCCUAACGGUGACACUCUACUUGCCGUGUGCGACGAUGGGUCAAUAUGGUGCUGGGAUAAAGUGAAAUGAAAUAUUUAGUUAUGACAUAUUUUGGUUCAAUUAGGUUUUGAAAAUUUACUAAGAUUCGAUGCUUCUUUCUGCAGAAGUUUAGACCUGAAGUGCAACUAUACUGAUGUAUGGACAUAUUUUGCAAUAUUAUUGUGUUCAACUCUACAGCUUUCUAGAUGUUAAGAUUAUUUUUUGCAAAAUGUUCUAAUUAAAACAUCAUUAAUAUCAAUAAUUUAAAUCCAAAUUAAAUUGUUAGUUUUGCUAAAAAUGAACUUUUAAGAAUUGAUUUCUUAAUAGGACUACAAUGAGGUAUUUGACUUCGCAAGACUUGAUUUUUUAUUUUUUACUAUUUGAUGAAGCUCUAGACUACUUGUGUGCAAAAUUUCACCUGUUUUUCAAAUAUAAUCAUUUAUUACUAUGUAUUUUCACCCAAAAAUGAAAUAGGUGUAAACACUUUUUAUUCAAAUCCUGCUAAGAAAAACACAAUUGAUUUCCAAUUUGCUUCUGAUUAUCUUUUUUUUUACCUUUUUCAUAUAUUUUUUUCAUUGUAAGAGCACUUGUUGAUCCAUGUAAGAAUUUUUUAUGUUUUUAUGCUGGAGCUCCUUUAAAAGCUUUUUUAUAUGCCCGAAAGGGCAUAUUAUGUUAUACCCCCUGGCGUCUGUCUGUCUGUCCGUCCGUCCGUUAGCAAUUUGGUUUCCGGAGCAUAACUUAAUUUCCAUUUGGCCCACAAUGUUAAAACUUCAUAGGAUGAUUGUCCAUAUUGGGUAGAAGACCCCUAUUGAUUUUGGGGUCAAAAGUCAAGGUCACUAUGACCUUAAAACUGAAAACAGUUUCCGGAGCAUAACUUAAGUUCCAUUCGACCCACAAUGUUCAAACUUCAUAGGAUGAUUGUCCAUAUUGGGUAGAAGACCCCUAUUGAUUUUAGGGUCACAAGGUCAAAGGUCACUAUUACCUUGAUACUGAAAACAGUUUCCGGACCUUAACUUAAGUUCCAAUUGACCCACAAUGUUCAAACUUCAUAGGAUGAUUGUCCAUAGUGGGUAGAAGACCCCUAUUGAUUUUGGGGUCAAAAGGUCAAAGUCACUAUGACCUUAAAACUGAAAACAGUUUCCGGAGCAUAACUUAAGUUCCAUUGGAACCACAAAGUUCAAACUUCAUUGGAUGAUUGUCCAUAUUGGGUAGAAGACCCCUAUUGAUUUUGAGGUCACAAGGUCAAAGUCACUAUUACCUUGAUACUGGAAACAGUUUCCGGAGCAUAACUUAAGUUCUAUUUGGCCCACAGUGUUCAAACUUCAUAGGAUGAUUGUCCAUAUUGGGUAGAAAACCCCUAUUGAUUUUGGGGUCACAAGGUCAAAGUCACUAUUACCUUGAUACUGAAAACAGUUUCCGGAGCAUAACUUAAGUUCCAAUUGACCCACAAUGUUCAAACUUCAUAGGAUGAUUGUCCAUAUUGGAUAGAAGACCUCUAUUGAUUUUUGGGUCACAAGGUCAAAGUCACUAUUACCUUGAUACUGGAAACAGGUUCCGGAGCAUAACUUAAGUUCUAUUUGGCCCACAGUGUUCAAACUUCAUAGGAUGAUUGUCCAUAUUGGGUAGAAGACCCCUAUUGAUUUUGGGGUCAAAAGGUCAAGGGCACUAUAUCCUUAAAACUGAAAACAGUUUCUGGAGCAUAACUUAAGUUCCAAUUGGCCCACAAUAUUCAAUUUUCAUAGGAUGAUUGUCCAUAUUGUCAAAAAAAACCUAUUGAUUUUGGGGUCACUAGGUCAAGGUCACAAUUACCUUAAAACCAAAAACAGUUUCCGGAGCAUAACGUAAGUUCCAUUUGGCCCACAAUAUUCAAACUUCAUAGGAUGAUUGUCUAUAUUGUGUAGAAGACCCCUAUUGAUUUUGGGGUCACAAGGUCAAAGGUCAAAGUCACUUUUACCUUAAUACUGAAAAGAGUUUCUAGAGCAUAAUUAAAGUUCCAAUUGGCCCACAAUAUUCAAACUUCUUAGGAUGAUUGUCCAUAUAAGGUAGAAGACCCCUAUUGAAUUUGGGGUCACAAGGUCAUAGGUUAAGGUCAUUAUUAAUAACUUAAGUAUAAAUCAACCUACAGCUGUAAAAUUUUAUAUGAUGAACAGCGAAUUCCCAUGUCUUACGAAAGCUUCAUCCUUACUAAAAAAAAAACACUUUCGGGCAUAUAAUGCUCCGCCUAGCGGUGCUCUUGUUAGACAUUGUGCAGGACAAGAAUCAGUAUGACAUUUUAUUUGAUCAGAUGAAUCUCAGAAUCUGCUAUGUUACUGAUCUUUUAUGACAUUGACUUAAAAAAAUAAAACUUUUUUAAACAAAA